UGCGUGCUGAGUUGCGCAUCAAGGAGAGUAAGGAAUUUAAGAACACUGUGGAUAAAUUGGUGCAAAGGGCGAAUGCCUCACUUCUGAUUGGUACUUCGUCAUGGAAGGAACAAUUUGCGGAUGCGUUAACAGUGACUCCAGGCGAUGAUGAUGAUGGCAAUGGCGAAGGUGGUGAGGAUGAUGAGCCACAGUCGCCCUCUUGCUUCGAUUACAUUUUGCAUUUCCUAACAAUCUUCUGGAAACUUAUUUUUG